GAUGAACGCUGGCGGCGUGCCUAAUACAUGCAAGUCGAACGCUGGAGAUCUAGCUUGCUAGAUCGAAGGAGUGGCGAACGGGUGAGUAAUACAUAAGCAACCUACCCACGAAGACUGGGAUAAUCUCUGGAAACGGGGACUAAUACCGGAUAGGUAAUCGGAAGGCAUCUUCUGGUUAUUAAAGGUUAAAAACACUGGUGGAUGGGCUUAUGGCGCAUUAGUUAGUUGGUGAGGUAACGGCCCACCAAGACGAUGAUGCGUAGCCGGCCUGAGAGGGUGAACGGCCACAUUGGGACUGAGACACGGCCCAGACUCCUACGGGAGGCAGCAGUAGGGAAUUUUCGGCAAUGGGGGCAACCCUGACCGAGCAACGCCGCGUGAGUGAAGACGGCCUUCGGGUUGUAAAGCUCUGUUGUAAGGGAAGAACGGUAGAUAGAGAAUAUCUAAGUGACGGUACCUUAUCAGAAAGCCACGGCUAACUACGUG
rnacentral:rRNA from 1 species